AACAGAGGUAGCUUGCUACUUGCUGACGACCGGCGCACGGGUGCGUAACGCGUAUACAAUCUGCCUUAUACAGAGGGAUAGCCUUUAGAAAUGAAGAUUAAUACCUCAUGGUCUAUUAAUAUAGCAUUAUAUAAAUAGUAAAGCUUCGGCGGUAUAAGAUGAGUAUGCGUCCUAUUAGUUAGUUGGUAAGGUAACGGCUUACCAAGACAACGAUAGGUAGGGGCCCUGAGAGGGGGAUCCCCCACACUGGUACUGAGACACGGACCAGACUCCUACGGGAGGCAGCAGUGAGGAAUAUUGGACAAUGGAGGUAACUCUGAUCCAGCCAUGCCGCGUGCAGGAAGACGGCCCUAUGGGUUGUAAACUGCUUUUAUAUAGGAAGAAACCUUUUCACGUGUGAGAAGCUGACGGUACUAUAAGAAUAAGGACCGGCUAACUCCGUGCCAGCAGCCGCGGUAAUACGGAGGGUCCGAGCGUUAUCCGGAAUCAUUGGGUUUAAAGGGUCCGUAGGCGGGAAUCUAAGUCAGUGGUGAAAUCUUACAGCUCAACUGUAAAAUUGCCAUUGAUACUGGGUUUCUUGAAUUA
rnacentral:rRNA from 1 species